GAUGAACGCUAGCGAUAGGCCUAACACAUGCAAGUCGAGGGGCAUCACAUGAAGUAGCAAUACGGAUGGUGGCGACCGGCGCACGGGUGAGUAACACGUAUGCAACCUGCCUUCAACAAGGGGAUAACCCGUUGAAAGACGGACUAAUACCCUAUAACACAGGGGUCCCGCAUGGGAAUAUUUGUUAAAGGACAACCGGUUGAAGAUAGGCAUGCGUUCCAUUAGCUAGUUGGCGGGGUAACGGCCCACCAAGGCAACGAUGGAUAGGGGAACUGAGAGGUUUAUCCCCCACACUGGUACUGAGACACGGACCAGACUCCUACGGGAGGCAGCAGUGAGGAAUAUUGGUCAAUGGACGCAAGUCUGAACCAGCCACGUCGCGUGAAGGAAGACGGCCCUACGGGUUGUAAACUUCUUUUAUACGGGAAUAAGUGCCCCACGCGUGGGGUUUUGCAUGUACCGUAUGAAUAAGGAUCGGCUAACUCCGUGCCAGCAGCCGCCGGUAAAUCACACUACA
rnacentral:rRNA from 1 species